rnacentral:rRNA from 1 species
UACGGAGGAUGCGAGCGUUAUCCGGAUUUAUUGGGUUUAAAGGGUGCGUAGGCGGACUGUCAAGUCAGCGGUAAAAUACGGGGGCUCAACCCCGGCCCGCCGUUGAAACUGGCAGUCUCGAGUUGGAGAGAAGUAUGCGGAAUGCGCGGUGUAGCGGUGAAAUGCAUAGAUAUCGCGCAGAACUCCGAUUGCGAAGGCAGCAUGCCGGCUCCACACUGACGCUGAGGCACGAAAGCGUGGGUAUCGAACAGG